GAUGAACGCUGGCGGCGUGCCUAAUACAUGCAAGUCGAGCGAACAGACGAGGAGCUUGCUCCUCUGAUGUUAGCGGCGGACGGGUGAGUAACACGUGGAUAACCUACCUAUAAGACUGGGAUAACUUCGGGAAACCGGAGCUAAUACCGGAUAAUAUUUUGAACCGCAUGGUUCAAUAGUGAAAGACGGUCUUGCUGUCACUUAUAGAUGGAUCCGCGCCGCAUUAGCUAGUUGGUAAGGUAACGGCUUACCAAGGCAACGAUGCGUAGCCGACCUGAGAGGGUGAUCGGCCACACUGGAACUGAGACACGGUCCAGACUCCUACGGGAGGCAGCAGUAGGGAAUCUUCCGCAAUGGGCGAAAGCCUGACGGAGCAACGCCGCGUGAGUGAUGAAGGUCUUCGGAUCGUAAAACUCUGUUAUUAGGGAAGAACAAAUGUGUAAGUAACUAUGCACGUCUUGACGGUACCUAAUCAGAAAGCCACGGCUAACUACGUG
rnacentral:rRNA from 1 species